rnacentral:misc_RNA from 1 species
CGCCAAUCAUCCUUGCAUUAGUCACUAGAGCUACCAGAGAUUUUACGCAGAGAGGGGGUGUUGAAGUAUCGAGAGGCGCCAUUGCCGUAACCGACCUUUCACCAAUUUUCCCCUUUUCUCUCAGAAUACCCAAUACACAGCUUUAGCUCUUUCCACAAGUAUACCUCUCAGUUGCUCUCGCAGUGAAUCCCUUCUAUCUUACGGAUUUUGCCUUAAUUCACGUCAUCCUUCGUCAAAACCCUAAAAGAUGUCGGGCGGGUUCUUUCGGGGUACUUCUGCUGAUCAAGACACUCGAUUCUCGAACAAGCAAGCCAAGUUGUUGAAAUCGCAGAAGUUCGCUCCCGAAUUGGAACAUCUGGUGGAUAUGAGGAAAGUGAAGAUGGAUGUUAUCAGACCAUGGAUUGCUAAUAGGGUGACUGAGCUUCUUGGGUUUGAAGAUGAAGUUCUUAUCAACUUUAUUUAUGGCCUCCUUGAUGCAAAGGAAGUGAAUGGGAAGGAGGUUCAAAUAUCACUUACAGGAUUUAUGGAGAAAAACACUGGAAAGUUUAUGAAAGAGCUUUGGACACUUCUUCUCAGUGCUGAGAAGAAUGAAAGUGGUGUUCCUCAGCAAUUCUUGGAUGCGAAAGAAGAGGAAACCCGGAAGAAGCAGGCAGAGGUGGAUAGGAUAACAAAUGAAAUUCAGAAAAAGAAAGAGAAGGAGGGUGAAGAAUUUGAGCAGGAGAGAUCAAAGAAGAUGGAUGGUGGGGCUGAAACAAAGGCCAAUGUUGCUGGUGUGGAGCCAGCCUCAAAGCAUAUGGCAAAGGGUUCUAGUGGUGAUCCUGAGGAUGAUAAAGGAACUGACAAUAGGAAUGUUGGGACAGGAAGAAACAGGUUUUCUAUAUCUCCCCUUUCUUCUGAUCGUUCAUCUUCAUCAUCCCCUCGAGGUUCACCUUCUCAGAACAGCAGGUCAUUUUCAAAUUCAAGAAGUUAUUCAGGCGACCGGCACAAGUCCAGGAAUCUGUCUAGAUCACCAGAAGCACAAAGGAAAUCUGUUUCUUUGGAUAUUGUCUACCGCUCUCCAGGAAAAAGGUCUAUUACACCUCAUUGGAGGUAUUCAUCUCGGUUCUCCCUUUCACCUUCAAGAAGGAGAUCAUUGUAUUCUAGGCAAAGAUCAAGAUCAUCUUCACGCUGCAGAUUGCCUUCUCCAGGAGGACGUAGAUUGCACUCUCCAUUUCGACGCAGAUCGCCCUCAGCAAUUCACCAUAGAUCUCCCUCGCCUAUUCGGCGUCAUAGAUCUCCCUCACCCAUUCAACGUCGUAGAUUGCCCUCGCCCAUUCGACGCCGUAGAUCGCCCUCGCCCUUUCGCCGUAGAUCACCCUCGCCCUUUCGCCGUAGAUCACCCUCACCCAUUCGACGCCGUAGAUCGCCUUC